rnacentral:rRNA from 1 species
CGGUAGCAGGAAGUGCUUGCACUUUGCUGACGAGUGGCGGACGGGUGAGUAAUACUUAGGAACAUGCCUUUGUGUGGGGGAUAACCAUUGGAAACGAUGGCUAAUACCGCAUAAUGUCUUUGGACCAAAGAGGGCUUUCGGGCUCUCGCGCAAAGAGUGGCCUAAGUGAGAUUAGCUUGUUGGUGAGGUAAAGGCUCACCAAGGCGACGAUCUCUAGCUGUUCUGAGAGGAAGAUCAGCCACACUGGGACUGAGACACGGCCCAGACUCCUACGGGAGGCAGCAGUGGGGAAUAUUGCACAAUGGGGGCAACCCUGAUGCAGCCAUGCCGCGUGUGUGAAGAAGGCCUUCGGGUUGUAAAGCACUUUCAGUUGUGAGGAAAGGUUGAUGGUUAAUACCCAUCAGCUGUGACGUUAGCAACAGAAGAAGCACCGGCUAACUCCGUGCCAGCAGCCGCGGUAAUACGGAGGGUGCGAGCGUUAAUCGGAAUUACUGGGCGUAAAGCGCACGCAGGCGGUUAUAUAAGCUAGAUGUGAAAGCCCCGGGCUCAACCUGGGAAUUGCAUUUAGAACUGUAUGACUAGAGUCUUGGAGAGGGGAGUGGAAUUCCAGGUGUAGCG